GCCGCCCUCCUGCGAGCGCAUCCCUGCAGGUGCUUAUUUAUUGCACCGGAGCGAACGCGAAGUGAUGGAGAAACUGAGGCUGGGGUAGGUCCUAGGGCCCGCCCUGGGCCAUGAGUGAGUCCUUACAGCCACGCUCGGGUCUCCUGACAGCCUCUCCGUUUGCUUCACCG
rnacentral:lncRNA from 1 species